rnacentral:misc_RNA from 1 species
GAGAAAACCAGGUUUGAGGUAAACCACUGAGUGAAGUAGUAGGCAGCUCUGCUUUAGGUAAUGCCUCUUGUACAGAAUUCAUGUUGAGAAACAGAUUGUUAGCAUCGGUAUCCGAGUCAUAUGGAAGAUCGAACGGGUUUGUUGAUAUAUGCUCAUGAACAGUAACUCCCUUUGGAGGUGUAACAGGUGAAGAAAAUGAAAAUCCAGCCAUGCCACUCAACGGUGUAUCAAGACAGGAGGAUCUAUCAAUUGGAGUUGAUUUCUGAAAUCCAUUGUUAUAGUGCACCUCCG